rnacentral:lncRNA from 1 species
UUUCAGAUAGAUAUGGGGAAAAGUGUCAAAAGAAAAAAGUGAUAUGGAUUCGGCAUGAAAAACAACAACUAUAAGAUCCAGCUGUAGGAAUGAGGCGAAGAAAAAAGCGAAAUCAAUAAAUCUUAUUAAGCUAGAAGAAGGUGACAUAUCCCUGAAGCAAAAUUACCGAGCAUCAAAAUAAAGAUCUAUAAAAAAGGAUUACAUAAGGAAAAUAUGUACGGUAUUGUUUACGACCCCCUUCAUGUACGAACGUUGAAUUAAAGCUUAAUGCAUUACCGGGUUACUUUUUAAAUCUAAAAGUUUUUCAUUAUAGUAAUUUAUUUAAUACCUAAUUUCCUAUAUUUUACGAAUUUUUGAAAUUCAAAGUAGAAAAUAGUUGAGCACGAACUGUGAAUAAAUUUUGUAGCCAAGUAUUUUAUAAAUUUUGUAUGCAUACUUAUUAUAAAAAUAGAUUAGGAAAUUCAUUAUGUUAAUUUGUUCAAAGAAAAUG